AUAUAUAUAUAUAUAUAUAUAUAUAUAUAUAUAUAUAUAUAUAUAUAUAUAUAUUUUUUUUUUACAUGAGGGAUGGUGGCCAAGGGAAAAGAUUAAAAAAGGACGCUAGUUGCUAAACCCCAAAAAGACGAAAGUUAAAGGAAUCAAUACUUAUAUAUUUUCGAGUCAAUCCGUAAUAAAAGUGUACUUGACGAUUAUAUAAUUAUCAUAAAUUAAUAAAAAUUAUCUUUAUAUGUAAUAACAUGCUGUAAUUAUUCUUUAAAUAAGUAAUGGUAUUCAUGGUUAUUGUUCUGCUAUAAUUAUCUGAUGUAAUAAAAACUUGUGGGAUGGAAGUAAUAUUAAAUGUAACUAAAUUCUUAUUUAUUUGAUCACAGCGGCACAGCCUUUGAAAAAUGUGUAUGUGGUUUGAUUUUUUUUUUCAAAAUGAACUUAAAGUAUUAGGUACUGUAUCAAUUGUUUCACUUAAAUUUGAAACUACUUGAUAAGGUUUAAAGCUAAGUUAAAGCUGGUACAAGAAAGGAACAAAAAAAGUAAAAGUUAGCUACUUUGCUAAAAAAUAACAUCCUAUACUGCACAUGUUGCAGGUAAAGUUGACACAGUAAAGGAACAAAAAAAUAUAAGUUAGCUACUUUGCUAAAAAAAAAAUACGAGUAACAUCCUAUACUGCACAUAUUGCAGGUAAAAUUGAAAAAGUAAAGGAACAAAAAGUAUAAGUUAGCUACUUUGCUAAAAAUUAAUUUCUCCCAAUUUGUAAGAAUCUCCAUGAAGUGAAAUCUUUACUAAAAAAAUUAGCACGUAAAGGAGUCGGAGUCGCUCAUAUUUUUACCGACUCCGACUCUGACUCCAAUUCCGACUCCGACUCCGACUCUGACUCCAAUUCCGACUCCGACUCCGACUCCGGCCAAAAGUAGCCGACUCCUCGACUCCUCGACUCCGACUCCACACCCCUGUUUUAAACUAUGGUUUUAUUUAACACUGGCAAAGUUUAACCCGGUAGCAGCGGGGAUCAUGUUUCUUAAUGUUCCCUCUAAGCGAGAAAAAUGAGAAAAAAUCAUCACUCACACAAACCAUUUCAUAAUAUAUAUCAAAGCAUUUGUGAUCAUUUUAUGUAUCUUCUAUUUUGGGAGGUUUAUAUCAUGGCACAAAU